rnacentral:rRNA from 1 species
UACGGGGGGUGCGAGCGUUGUCCGGAUUCACUGGGCGUAAAGGGCGCGUAGGCGGCCGGCUCAGUCGGGCCUGUAAGUGCGGGGCUUAACCCCGUUAUGGGCCCGGGACGGGUCGGCUGGGGCGCGGUCGAGGGAGACGGAAUGCCGGGUGUAGUGGUGAAAUGCGUAGAGAUCCGGCGGAACACCGGUGGUGAAGGCGGUCUCCUAGGCCGAGGGCCGACGCUGAGGCGCGAGAGCGUGGGGAGCGAACCGG